AAUAAGUUUAUUGGUAGGUUUCUAUAUCUAACUUUUGACCGUCCGUCUUAUCUGAAAAUUUUUAAAAAACAAGUCAUGCAUAAAGUACUAUUUAUAUCUUAUCAUCUAAUAACAACAAAAAUACUAGUAAUUCAUAAAAAGAGCAAAUAAGACAUACGGUCAAACAUUGCACACAUAAACAUAUAAAUGAACUUAUU
rfam:Oryza sativa (indica cultivar-group) chromosome 3, whole genome shotgun sequence.